rnacentral:rRNA from 1 species
AUUCCCCUAGUAACUGCGAGUGAAGCGGGAAAAGCUCAAAUUUAAAAUCUAGUGGUCUUUGGCCACUCGAGUUGUAAUUUAGAGAAGUGUCUUCCGCGCUGGACCAUGCAUAAGUCUCCUGGAAUGGAGCGUCAUAGAGGGUGAGAAUCCCGUCUUUGGCAUGGACCCCCAGGGCUUCUGUGAUGCGCUCUCGAAGAGUCGAGUUGUUUGGGAAUGCAGCUCAAAAUGGGUGGUGAACUCCAUCUAAAGCUAAAUAUUGGCGAGAGACCGAUAGCGAACAAGUACCGUGAGGGAAAGAUGAAAAGCACUUUGGAAAGAGAGUGAAACAGUACGUGAAAUUGUUGAAAGGGAAACGCUUAAAGUCAGUCACGUCUACCGAGACUCAGCCUUGCCUUGGCUUGGUGUACUUCUCGGCUGACGGGUCAGCAUCAAUUUUGAUCCUCGGAUAAUGGCAAGGGAAAGGUAGCACCUUUACAGGUGUGUUAUAGUCCUUUGUCGCAUGCGAGGGUUGGGAUUGAGGAACUCAGCAUGCACCUUUUGGUGUCGGGGCCUUGGCCUACGUUACGUGCUUAGGAUGUUGGCAUAAUGGCUUUAAACGACCCGUCUUGAAACACGGACCAAGGAGUCUAACAUGCACGCGAGUGUUCGGGUGGAAAACCCGUGCGCGUAAUGAAAGUAAAAGUUGGGACCUCUGUCGUGGAGGGCACCGACGCCCGGACCAGACCUUCUGUGACGGCUCUGCGGUAGAGCGUGUAUGUUGGGACCCGAAAGAUGGUGAACUAUGCCUGAAUAGGGUGAAGCCAGAGGAAAACUCUGGUGGAGGCUCGUAGCGAUUACUGACGUGCAAAUCGAUCGUCAAAUUUGGGUA